AAAUUGAAGAGUUUGAUCAUGGCUCAGAUUGAACGCUGGCGGCAGGCCUAACACAUGCAAGUCGAACGGUAACAGGAAGCAGCUUGCUGCUUCGCUGACGAGUGGCGGACGGGUGAGUAAUGUCUGGGAAACUGCCUGAUGGAGGGGGAUAACUACUGGAAACGGUAGCUAAUACCGCAUAACGUCGCAAGACCAAAGAGGGGGACCUUAGGGCCUCUUGCCAUCGGAUGUGCCCAGAUGGGAUUAGCUAGUAGGUGGGGUAACGGCUCACCUAGGCGACGAUCCCUAGCUGGUCUGAGAGGAUGACCAGCCACACUGGAACUGAGACACGGUCCAGACUCCUACGGGAGGCAGCAGUGGGGAAUAUUGCACAAUGGGCGCAAGCCUGAUGCAGCCAUGCCGCGUGUAUGAAGAAGGCCUUCGGGUUGUAAAGUACUUUCAGCGGGGAGGAAGGCGAUAAGGUUAAUAACCUUGUCGAUUGACGUUACCCGCAGAAGAAGCACCGGCUAACUCCGUGCCAGCAGCCGCGGUAAUACGGAGGGUGCAAGCGUUAAUCGGAAUUACUGGGCGUAAAGCGCACGCAGGCGGUCUGUCAAGUCGGAUGUGAAAUCCCCGGGCUCAACCUGGGAACUGCAUUCGAAACUGGCAGGCUAGAGUCUUGUAGAGGGGGGUAGAAUUCCAGGUGUAGCGGUGAAAUGCGUAGAGAUCUGGAGGAAUACCGGUGGCGAAGGCGGCCCCCUGGACAAAGACUGACGCUCAGGUGCGAAAGCGUGGGGAGCAAACAGGAUUAGAUACCCUGGUAGUCCACGCCGUAAACGAUGUCGACUUGGAGGUUGUGCCCUUGAGGCGUGGCUUCCGGAGCUAACGCGUUAAGUCGACCGCCUGGGGAGUACGGCCGCAAGGUUAAAACUCAAAUGAAUUGACGGGGGCCCGCACAAGCGGUGGAGCAUGUGGUUUAAUUCGAUGCAACGCGAAGAACCUUACCUACUCUUGACAUCCAGAGAACUUUCCAGAGAUGGAUUGGUGCCUUCGGGAACUCUGAGACAGGUGCUGCAUGGCUGUCGUCAGCUCGUGUUGUGAAAUGUUGGGUUAAGUCCCGCAACGAGCGCAACCCUUAUCCUUUGUUGCCAGCGGUCCGGCCGGGAACUCAAAGGAGACUGCCAGUGAUAAACUGGAGGAAGGUGGGGAUGACGUCAAGUCAUCAUGGCCCUUACGAGUAGGGCUACACACGUGCUACAAUGGCGCAUACAAAGAGAAGCGACCUCGCGAGAGCAAGCGGACCUCAUAAAGUGCGUCGUAGUCCGGAUUGGAGUCUGCAACUCGACUCCAUGAAGUCGGAAUCGCUAGUAAUCGUGGAUCAGAAUGCCACGGUGAAUACGUUCCCGGGCCUUGUACACACCGCCCGUCACACCAUGGGAGUGGGUUGCAAAAGAAGUAGGUAGCUUAACCUUCGGGAGGGCGCUUACCACUUUGUGAUUCAUGACUGGGGUGAAGUCGUAACAAGGUAACCGUAGGGGAACCUGCGGUUGGAUCACCUCCUUA
rnacentral:rRNA from 1 species